GAUGAACGCUGGCGGCGUGCCUAAUACAUGCAAGUCGAGCGAACGGACGAGAAGCUUGCUCCUCUGACGUUAGCGGCGGACGGGUGAGUAACACGUGGAUAACCUACCUAUAAGACUGGGAUAACUUCGGGAAACCGGAGCUAAUACCGGAUAAUAUAUUGAACCGCAUGGUUCAAUAGUGAAAGACGGUUUUGCUGUCACUUAUAGAUGGAUCCGCGCUGCAUUAGCUAGUUGGUAAGGUAACGGCUUACCAAGGCAACGAUGCAUAGCCGACCUGAGAGGGUGAUCGGCCACACUGGAACUGAGACACGGUCCAGACUCCUACGGGAGGCAGCAGUAGGGAAUCUUCCGCAAUGGGCGAAAGCCUGACGGAGCAACGCCGCGUGAGUGAUGAAGGUCUUCGGAUCGUAAAACUCUGUUAUUAGGGAAGAACAAAUGUGUAAGUAACUAUGCACGUCUUGACGGUACCUAAUCAGAAAGCCACGGCUAACUACGUG
rnacentral:rRNA from 1 species